UCCCAAACCCAUGUGAACAUACCUAUCGUUGCUUCGGCGGGUACGCCCCCGCGCCUCGGCGCCGGGACCCGGCGCCCGCCGGAGACCCCAAACUCUUGUGUUUAUGCAGUAUUCUCUGAGUGAAAACGCAAAAAUAAAUCAAAACUUUCAACAACGGAUCUCUUGGCUCUGGCAUCGAUGAAGAACGCAGCGAAAUGCGAUAAGUAAUGUGAAUUGCAGAAUUCAGUGAAUCAUCGAAUCUUUGAACGCACAUUGCGCCCGCCAGCAUUCUGGCGGGCAUGCCUGUCCGAGCGUCAUUUCAACCCUCAGGGCCCCUUCGGGGGCGCUGGUGUUGGGGAUCGGCCCGCCUCCGGGCGGCGCCGUCCCCCAAAUACAGUGGCGGUCUCGCUGCAGCCUCCCCUGCGUAGUAGCAUACACUCGCAUGCGGAGCGCGGCGCGGCCACGCCGUGAAACCCCCCACUUCUGAACGUUGACCUCGGAUCAGGUAGGAAUACCCGCUGAACUUAAGCAUAUCAAUAAGGCGGAGG
rnacentral:rRNA from 1 species